GGAAAGCAGAACAUUGAGCAGCAAAGCAGCAAAAUAUAGAGAGAGCGCAGAAGGACCACUCAGAGGAAGGAAGACUACAGGAAAAGUUUAAACCUAUAAAUAGGGACAGAAAACUGGACAACGCUGUUAAAGAAAUACUGCUGAUACAAGACUUCUGCCGCCACGGGGAGCAACGCCAUGAACAAGAUGGAAGUCAAAACCAACCAAUAGGUUUUCAUGAGAUUACAGAAGACAGUAUGAUUUGUUUUUAAAUAGGUGUUUGAAAUAACGGUUAUUGGAAAUAGUUUUCAUGUUUCUAGGGGGGGUGCGUUAACAGGUGUAUUGGGGACUAUGUUUGUUGUUGUUAGUAAAAAAAAAAAAAAAAAAAAAGCUGCCUUUGCCCCCAAAGGUUUUACUAUAAAAAAGUUUCGCUGGACGUUGUUGAGAAUUUGGAAGCUGUACUGCCCCCAUAUGGCGUAAGCGGGAAUAGCGCUUUAUUUUUGUACAUUGUAUUUGAACAUAGUUUUUAGCCCCCCUUACUAAAAAAAAUGUUUCAGCAUUGAGG